GCCAGGGUGAGGAGAGAGGGUCUAUGUCAGAGUGAGACUUUUAAUCUGAGGGUCCAGGGUUCAAGUCCCUGUUCAGGCG